CGGUUAAGUUAGAAAGGGCGCACGGUGGAUGCCUUGGCACUAGGAGCCGAUGAAGGACGGGACGAACACCG
rnacentral:rRNA from 1 species